rnacentral:rRNA from 1 species
AUACAGAGGGUGCAAGCGUUAAUGGGAAUUACUGGGCGUAAAGCGCGCGUAGGCGGUUUAAUCAGUCGGAUGUGAAAGCCCCGGGCUCAACCUGGGAACUGCAUUCGAUACUGUUAAGCUAGAGUAUGGUAGAGGGAAGUGGAAUUCCAGGUGUAGCGGUGAAAUGCGUAGAUAUCUGGAGGAACAUCAGUGGCGAAGGCGACUUCCUGGACCAAUACUGACGCUGAGGUGCGAAAGCGUGGGGAGCAAACAGGAUUAGAUGCCCUAGUAGUCC